rnacentral:tRNA from 1 species
AAGGAUUUAAGUUAAAUAAACUAAUAACCUUCAAAGUUAUAAAUAAGAAUAAUCUUAAACCUUA